CCAAUUGAUUGACGGUGCUUGCAUCUGAUUGAUUUUGGUUGCCAACGAGUGGCGGACGGGUGAGUAACACGUAGGUAACCUGCCCAGAAGUGGGGGACAACAUUUGGAAACAGAUGCUAAUACCGCAUAACAGCGUUGUUCGCAUGAACAACGCUUAAAAGAUGGCUUCUCGCUAUCACUUCUGGAUGGACCUGCGGUGCAUUAGCUUGUUGGUGGGGUAACGGCCUACCAAGGCGAUGAUGCAUAGCCGAGUUGAGAGACUGAUCGGCCACAAUGGGACUGAGACACGGCCCAUACUCCUACGGGAGGCAGCAGUAGGGAAUCUUCCACAAUGGGCGCAAGCCUGAUGGAGCAACACCGCGUGAGUGAAGAAGGGUUUCGGCUCGUAAAGCUCUGUUGUUAAAGAAGAACACGUAUGAGAGUAACUGUUCAUACGUUGACGGUAUUUAACCAGAAAAUCACGGCUAACUACGUGCCAGCAGCCGCGGUAAUACGUAGGUGGCAAGCGUUAUCCGGAUUUAUUGGGCGUAAAGAGAGUGCAGGCGGUUUUCUAAGUCUGAUGUGAAAGCCUUCGGCUUAACCGGAGAAGUGCAUCGGAAACUGGAUAACUUGAGUGCAGAAGAGGGUAGUGGAACUCCAUGUGUAGCGGUGGAAUGCGUAGAUAUAUGGAAGAACACCAGUGGCGAAGGCGGCUACCUGGUCUGCAACUGACGCUGAGACUCGAAAGCAUGGGUAGCGAACAGGAUUAGAUACCCUGGUAGUCCAUGCCGUAAACGAUGAGUGCUA
rnacentral:rRNA from 1 species